rnacentral:rRNA from 1 species
UACGUAGGUGGCAAGCGUUGUCCGGAUUUACUGGGCGUAAAGAGCGCGCAGGCGGUCGUCCAAGUCGCGUGUGAAAGCCCCCGGCUCAACUGGGGAGGGUCACGCGAUACUGGUCGACUCGAAGGCAGGAGAGGGUAGUGGAAUUCCCGGUGUAGUGGUGAAAUGCGUAGAUAUCGGGAGGAACGCCAGUGGCGAAGGCGACUACCUGGCCUGUUCUUGACGCUGAGGCGCGAAAGCUAGGGGAGCAAACGGG